AUAUUCGAUGUCAGCCGGAAUUUUCAUUUGUCCCAAUCUUUGCGGACGAAAGUAUAGCUAUAAAGGUGGUCUUUCCAGACAUUUAAAAUACGAAUGCGGAGUCGAACCGAAGUUCAAAUGCGAGAUUUGUACUAAAAAAUUCAUCCACCGAGCACAUUUACGAUCACAUCGUGGACUGGUUCAUAAGCUGAUAUAAAGUUUCUGUGAAGAGAUAGAUCCCCUGGCGUCGGUGUUUUUCUGUCCGAAGAAGUGUGGUCGAAAAUAUUACUCUAAAGGUGCUAUAAAUAGACAUCUGAAGUACGAAUGCGGAGUGGAACCGAAAUUCACUUGUAAUAUGUGUUCCAAGAAAUUCAAUCAUAAGUCUCAGUUAAGGUCUCAUUCUGCGUUGAUUCAUAAAAUUACGAUGUAACUUGUAUUUUUUUUUGGAUAAUUUAUUGUUUUCUUGAAAGAUUGAUUGAUUCUUUUUUGAAUAAAACUUUUGUGAUGAA